GUGCGUGUGUGUGUGUUUGCGAAUCCCGGAUGGGACCCAACCUAAUACACGUACCAGAAUCUGUACUGUACUAAGAAAGUGUAAUCCCAAAUAUAACA